CUUGAACUUUCUCGGAAAAGCUGUUGAUCCUCUGCUCAGACCCAUGAUCUAGCAGCAACUCUUAACCAGGGGCCACUCCAUCCCCCAGUUUCUGCAGCUUGAUGCUGGUGUCUCCCAGGAUCAGCCACAUGAUGUAAAGAAACAGAAGAGAAGAAUCAGAGGCAGAAGGACAGAUAUCUGUCGUGUGUUCAUCUCAGCAACUCACACCUCACUUCUGAGGCUAAACUCGGGCUUUCUGGCACGUGACCUAACCUGAUACCAUGCUCCUUGAUCUGAAUCCACCUUACUUCCAUUCUCUGCUCUCAGAAAAAAGUCUACACGUCUGGACGUGAACUUGACAGUGAUCAUCCUGGAGACGGUAUGUCACUGGCACUAUACAUAAGUUUUUAGCCUGUUUGAAAUCUGAAAUGUUAGCUGGUUUUACUCUUGAAUAAAAAAUAAAAUAAAAUAAAAUAAAAAUAAAAA
ensembl:lncRNA